UGAACGCUGGCGGCGUGCCUAAUACAUGCAAGUCGCGCGAACGGACGAGAAGCUUGCUUCUCUGAUGUUAGCGGCGGACGGGUGAGUAACACGUGGAUAACCUACCUAUAAGACUGGGAUAACUUCGGGAAACCGGAGCUAAUACCGGAUAAUAUUUUGAACCGCAUGGUUCAAAAGUGGAAGAUGGUCUUGCUGUCACUUAUAGAUGGAUCCGCGCUGCAUUAGCUAGUUGGUAAGGUAACGGCUUACCAAGGCAACGAUGCAUAGCCGACCUGAGAGGGUGAUCGGCCACACUGGAACUGAGACACGGUCCAGACUCCUACGGGAGGCAGCAGUAGGGAAUCUUCCGCAAUGGGCGAAAGCCUGACGGAGCAACGCCGCGUGAGUGAUGAAGGUCUUCGGAUCGUAAAACUCUGUUAUUAGGGAAGAACAUAUGUGUAAGUAACUGUGCACAUCUUGACGGUACCUAAUCAGAAAGCCACGGCUAACUACGUG
rnacentral:rRNA from 1 species